GUCAGGAUGGCCGAGCGGUCUAAGGCGCCAGACUCAAGGGUCUUAAAUUCCCUUCGCAUUCAGACUGAGAUUUCUGGUCUACGAAUGUAGGCGUGGGUUCGAAUCCCACUUCUGACA
rnacentral:tRNA from 1 species